AUUGAACGCUGGCGGCAUGCCUUACACAUGCAAGUCGAACGGCAGCGCGGGAGCAAUCCUGGCGGCGAGUGGCGAACGGGUGAGUAAUAUAUCGGAACGUGCCCAGUAGUGGGGGAUAGCCCGGCGAAAGCCGGAUUAAUACCGCAUGAGACCUGAGGGUGAAAGCGGGGGAUCGCAAGACCUCGCGCUAUUGGAGCGGCCGAUAUCAGAUUAGCUAGUUGGUGGGGUAAAGGCCUACCAAGGCAACGAUCUGUAGUUGGUCUGAGAGGACGACCAGCCACACUGGGACUGAGACACGGCCCAGACUCCUACGGGAGGCAGCAGUGGGGAAUUGUUCGCAAUGGGCGCAAGCCUGACGACGCAACGCCGCGUGGAGGAUGAAGAUCUUCGGGUCGUAAACUCCUUUCGAUCGAGACGAAUGGCCCUCGGGCUAACAUCCUGAGGGAGUGACGGUACCGAGAGAAGAAGCCCCGGCUAACUCCGUGCCAGC
rnacentral:rRNA from 1 species